AACGAACGCUGGCGGCAUGCCUAACACAUGCAAGUCGAACGAGACCUUCGGGUCUAGUGGCGCACGGGUGCGUAACGCGUGGGAACCUGCCCUUAGGUUCGGAAUACCUCCCCGAAAGGGGUGCUAAUACCGGAUAAUGUCUUCGGACCAAAGAUUUAUCGCCUUUGGAUGGGCCCGCGUUGGAUUAGCUAGUUGGUAGGGUAAAAGCCUACCAAGGCGACGAUCCAGAGCUGGUCUGAGAGGAUGAUCAGCCACACUGGGACUGAGACACGGCCCAGACUGCUACGGGAGGCAGCAGUGGGGAAUAUUGGACAAUGGGCGAAAGCCUGAUCCAGCAAGGCCGCGUGAGUGAUGAAGGCCUUAGGGUUGUAAAGCUCUUUUACCCGGGAUGAUAAGGACAGUACCGGGAGAAUAAGCUCCGGCUAACUCCGU
rnacentral:rRNA from 1 species